rnacentral:ncRNA from 1 species
CGGGAUCACCUGACAAGGAUUCCCUUAGUAAUGGCAAGCGAACCGGGAAGAGCCCAGCUUGAAAAUCAGACGUCUUUGGCGUUCGAAUUGUAGUCUGGAGAAGCGUCCUCAGCGACGGACCGGGCCCAAGUUCCCUGGAAAGGGGCACCAGAGAGGCUGAGAGCCCCGUCGUGCCCGGACCCUGUCGCACCAUGAGGCGCUGUCUACGAGUCGGGUAGUUUGGAAUGCAGCCCCAAUCGGGCGGUAAAUUCUGUCCAAGGCUAAAUAUGGGCGAGAGACCGAUAGAGAACAAGUACCGCGAGGUAAAGAUGAAAAGGACUUUGAAAAGAGAGUCAAAGAAUGGUUGAAAUUGUUCGGAGGGAAGCGGAUGGGGGCCGGCGAUUCAUCCCGGUCGGAUGCGGAACGGAGCAAUCUGGUCCGCCAAUCGAUUUGGGCCGUGGACCAACGCAGAUUAAGGUGGUGACCUAUGCCUGGGCUUUUGUUACGCCCGCGGAGACGUCACUGCCUUAAUCGUGGUCUGCAGCACGCGCCGCACAGCGUGCCUCGGCAUCUGCGUUCUCAGAUCUUGAAACACGG